AAGUUGUUGCAGUUAAAAAGCUCGUAGUUGAAUUUCGGGGUUAGUAGGUUGGUCAUGCCUCCGGUAUGUACUGAUCUCACUGAUUCCUCCUUCCUUAUGAACCGUAAUGCCAUUAAUUUGGUGUUGCGGGGAAUUUGGACUGUUACUUUGAAAAAAUUAGAGUGUUUAAAGCAGGCUAACGCUUGAAUACAUUAGCAUGGAAUAAUGAAAUAGGACGUUCGAUCUUAUUUUGUUGGUUUCUAGGAUUGACGUAAUGAUUAAUAGGGAUAGUUGGGGGCAUUAGUAUUCAAUUGUCAGAGGUGAAAUUCUUGGAUUUAUUGAAGACUAACUACUGCGAAAGCAUUUGCCAAGGAUGUUUUCAUUAAUCAAGAACGAAAGUUAGGGGAUCGAAGACGAUCAGAUACCGUCGUAGUCUUAACCAUAAACUAUGCCGACUAGGGAUCGGAUGAUGUUAAUUUUUUAAUGACUCA
rnacentral:rRNA from 1 species